rnacentral:tRNA from 1 species
ACCUGGCUGACUCAGUCGGAAAAGUAUGUGACUCUUGAUCUCAAGGUCAUGAGUUCAAGCCCCAUGCUGGGUG